rnacentral:rRNA from 1 species
UGAAGAAUUUAUCCAACGGCGGGGGAUAGCCGGCCCAACGGCCGGGUAAUACCGCGUACGACCAUUUGGGGACAUCCCCGAGUGGUGAAGGCAGCAAUGCGCCGAUGGAGUGCCUCGCGGCCUAUCAGCUAGUUGGUGAGGUAACGGCUCACCAAGGCGACGACGGGUAGCUGGUCUGAGAGGAUGGCCAGCCACAUUGGGACUGAGACACGGCCCAGACCUCCUACGGGAGGNAGCG